rnacentral:rRNA from 1 species
GAUGAACGCUGGCGGCGUGCCUAACACAUGCAAGUCGAACGAGGCGGCUCAAGGUUUUCGGACAGAGAGUUGACUGAGUGGCGGACGGGUGAGUAACGCGUGGGUAACCUGCCUUAUACAGGGGGAUAACAGUUAGAAAUGACUGCUAAUACCGCAUAAGCGCACAGUACCGCAUGGUACAGUGUGAAAAGCCGAGACGGUAUAAGAUGGACCCGCGUCUGAUUAGCUAGUUGGUGAGGUAACGGCCCACCAAGGCGACGAUCAGUAGCCGACCUGAGAGGGUGAUCGGCCACAUUGGAACUGAGAAACGGUCCAAACUCCUACGGGAGGCAGCAGUGGGGAAUAUUGGGCAAUGGGCGCAAGCCUGACCCAGCAACGCCGCGUGAAGGAAGAAGGUCUUCGGGUCGUAAACUUCUAUCCUUGGUGAAGAUAAUGACGGUAGCCAAGAAGGAAGCCCCGGCUAACUACGUG